rnacentral:rRNA from 1 species
AGCGAACGCUGGCGGCAGGCCUAACACAUGCAAGUCGAACGAACUCUUCGGAGUUAGUGGCGGACGGGUGAGUAACACGUGGGAACGUGCCUUUUGGUUCGGAAUAACUCAGGGAAACUUGUGCUAAUACCGAAUGUGCCCUUCGGGGGAAAGAUUUAGCGCCAUUAGUGCGGCCCUCGUCUGAUUAGCUAGUUGGUGAGGUAACGGCUCACCAAGGCGACGAUCAGUAGCUGGUCUGAGAGGAUGACCAGCCACACUGGGACUGAGACACGGCCCAGACUCCUACGGGAGGCAGCAGUGGGGAAUCUUGCGCAAUGGGCGAAAGCCUGACGCAGCCAUGCCGCGUGAAUGAUGAAGGUCCUAGGAUUGUAAAAUUCUUUCACCGGGGGCGAUAAUGACGGUACCCGGAGAAGAAGCCCCGGCUAACUUCGUG